rnacentral:lncRNA from 1 species
CACCUCCCAACAGCACCAUGGGCUGGGGACCAAGCUGUUGACACAUGGGUCUUUGGAACAUUCCAGAUCCAAACCACAGCAUGUUCCUUCCUUCAAGUUUCUCUACUUCCAUUUCCCCUGACUGCACACUCUCAGACACACCCCUCCCUUUCUGAGUGACAUUUCCUGUUGCCUUUUCUAACCCUUCUUCCUUACCCUGCUUGGAGAAAAUUCCCUCUGACUUACAAAUGUGUAUCCCUCACCCCUGCACAUGAGCAUCUUGGGCCUCAGACAACGUCCAGCUGUUUUGCAGACAGAUUUCUGUAGGUGCAUCGGCAUGGCCAGAUCAACGUGGCCUAGUCCUCCCCCUCCCUCCCACUGAAAGUCCAAUCCACUUUCUAUGUUGCCUGUCUUGGUGCACCGUGCCAUGUGCCCAGUUCUUAAAACUCGACCCCUUUGUCUCUUUGACCAGUUCUUCAUCCCUAACCUCUGCAUUCAACUGGCUACAAAACAUUACCCACCUCUUUCAGAUAUACUUCUGAAAUCUACAUCUGCGUGUUACUCAGCUUCUCAUCACGGGGACCAAAAUACCUGACAAGAGCCACUUAGAGCAGAAUACAUUUAUUUUGUCUCCCGUUUUCAGAGGCUCAGUCUCUGGUUAGCCAACACCAUUGCCCUGAGGUGAGGCCGAGCACCAUGGCAGAGGCCAGCUGCUCAGGACGCAGAGGGCAAGGAGCAUGGGGAAGGUAAGUCCUCCUAGGGCAUGCCCACAGCAAACCACUUCCCCUGACUAGGUCCCACUUCUCAGUAGUCCAUCCUGCUGUGAAUGAAUUAAUCCACCAAGUGGAUUAAUCCUCUAUGAGGUCAGACCCUUCAUGAUCCAAUCAUUAGCUAAAAGUGGCACCUGUGAACCUGGCUGCACCGGGGACCGUGCCUUCAACACAUGAGGUUUUGAAGAACAUUCCAG